rnacentral:rRNA from 1 species
CUACGGGGGGCUGCAGUGGGGAAUAUUGCACAAUGGGCGCAAGCCUGAUGCAGCCAUGCCGCGUGUAUGAAGAAGGCCUUCGGGUUGUAAAGUACUUUCAGCGGGGAGGAAGGGAGUAAAGUUAAUACCUUUGCUCAUUGACGUUACCCGCAGAAGAAGCACCGGCUAACCCCGUGCCAGCAGCCGCGGUAAUACGGAGGGUGCAAGCGGUAAUCGGAAUUACUGGGCGUAAAGCGCACGCCGGCGGUUUGUUAAGUCAGAUGUGAAAUCCCCGGGCUCAACCUGGGAACUGCAUCGGAGACUGGCAAGCUUGAGUCUCGUAGAGGGGGGUAGAAUUCCAGGUGUAGCGGUGAAAUGCGUAGAGAUCUGGAGGAAUACCGGUGGCGAAGGCGGCCCCCUGGACGAAGACUGACGCUCAGGUGCGAAAGCGUGGGGAGCAAACAGGAUUAGAUACCCUGGUAGUC